rnacentral:rRNA from 1 species
AGAGUUUGAUCCUGGCUCAGAACGAACGCUGGCGGCAGGCCUAACACAUGCAAGUCGAACGCCUCAGCAAUGGGGAGUAGCAGACGGGUGAGUAACGCGUGGGAACAUGCCCUUUGGUUCGGAAUAACUCAGGGAAACUUGAGCUAAUACCGGAUAAGCCCGAGAGGGGAAAGAUUUAUCGCCGAAGGAUUGGCCCGCGUCCGAUUAGCUAGUUGGUGAGGUAACGGCUCACCAAGGCGACGAUCGGUAGCUGGUCUGAGAGGAUGAUCAGCCACACUGGGACUGAGACACGGCCCAGACUCCUACGGGAGGCAGCAGUGGGGAAUAUUGGACAAUGGGCGCAAGCCUGAUCCAGCCAUGCCGCGUGAGUGAUGAAGGCCCUAGGGUUGUAAAGCUCUUUCGCCAGGGACGAUAAUGACGGUACCUGGAUAAGAAGCCCCGGCUAACUUCGUGCCAGCAGCCGCGGUA